GGCUUAUAGAAAUAUUAUAGUGUGUCCUCACCCACAUUAUUCAACAGAUGUGGUACUGUUUGACUUCUGGUUCUUCCCCAAGGUCAAAAUGAUUAACAAAGGUAAAUGUUUUGAAUUGAUUCAGGACAUCAAGGCAGCCAUGACAGUGCAGCUAAAGAUACUGAUGAAGGAGGAUUCUACAACUGCUUCAGACAGUGCCAAGAAUGACCGGAAUCAUUACUUCAUCCUAUGACUGGUAGAGGCAGAUUUUGCUUAUCCUCAGUCCUUACAUUCCCUAGAGAAAAGUCACAAGAGGUAAGUGGAUAUCUACUUUGCUAAUAAUAUGACUACCUCAUGGAACAUAAUAUCUAUGUACAAUUUUGG
rnacentral:lncRNA from 1 species